GAUGAACGCUGGCGGCGUGCCUAAUACAUGCAAGUCGAGCGAACAGACGAGGAGCUUGCUCCUCUGACGUUAGCGGCGGACGGGUGAGUAAAACGUGGAUAACCUACCUAUAAGACUGGGAUAACUUCGGGAAACCGGAGCUAAUACCGGAUAAUAUAUUGAACCGCAUGGUUCAAUAGUGAAAGACGGUUUUGCUGUCACUUAUAGAUGUAUCCGCGCCGCAUUAGCUAGUUGGUAAGGUAACGGCUUACCAAGGCGACGAUGCGUAGCCGACCUGUGAGGGUGGACGGCCACGCAGGAACUGAUACACGGUCACGUCUACUACGAGAGGAAGCAGUAGCUAAACUUACGCAAUGGGCGAAAGCCUGACGGAGCAACGCCGGUGGAGUGAUGAAGGUCUUCGGAUCGUAAAACUAUGUUAUGAGGGAAGAACAAAUGUGUAAGUAACUAUGCACUUCUUGGCGGUACCUAAUCAGAAAGCCACGGCUAACUACGUG
rnacentral:rRNA from 1 species